rnacentral:rRNA from 1 species
UACGUAGGGCGGCAAGCGUUGUCCGGAAUUAUUGGGCGUAAAGAGCUCGUAGGCGGUUUGUCGCGUCUGCUGUGAAAACCCGAGGCUCAACCUCGGGCCUGCAGUGGGUACGGGCAGACUAGAGUGGCGGUAGGGGAGAUUGGAAUUCCUGGUGUAGCGGUGGAAUGCGCAGAUAUCAGGAGGAACACCAAUGGCGAAGGCAGAUCUCUGGGCCGUAACUGACGCUGAGGAGCGAAAGCAUGGGGAGCGAACAGG